AGUCUGCAUGGAGCCGACCUUGAAAUACCACCCUUUAAUGUUUGAUGUUCUAACGUUGACCCGUGAUCCGGGUUGCGGACAGUGUCUGGUGGGUAGUUUGACUGGGGCGGUCUCCUCCUAAAGAGUAACGGAGGAGCACGAAGGUUGGCUAAUCCUGGUCGGACAUCAGGAGGUUAGUGCAAUGGCAUAAGCCAGCUUGACUGCGAGCGUGACGGCGCGAGCAGGUGCGAAAGCAGGUCAUAGUGAUCCGGUGGUUCUGAAUGGAAGGGCCAUCGCUCAACGGAUAAAAGGUACUCCGGGGAUAACAGGCUGAUACCGCCCAAGAGUUCAUAUCGACGGCGGUGUUUGGCACCUCGAUGUCGGCUCAUCACAUCCUGGGGCUGAAGUAGGUCCCAAGGGUAUGGCUGUUCGCCAUUUAAAGUGGUACGCGAGCUGGGUUUAGAACGUCGUGAGACAGUUCGGUCCCUAUCUGCCGUGGGCGCUGGAGAACUGAGGGGGGCUGCUCCUAGUACGAGAGGACCGGAGUGGACGCAUCACUGGUGUUCGGGUUGUCAUGCCAAUGGCACUGCCCGGUAGCUAAAUGCGGAAGAGAUAAGUGCUGAAAGCAUCUAAGCACGAAACUUGCCCCGAGAUGAGUUCUCCCUGACUCCUUGAGAGUCCUGAAGGAACGUUGAAGACGACGACGUUGAUAGGCCGGGUGUGUAAGCGCAGCGAUGCGUUGAGCUAACCGGUACUAAUGAACCGUGAGG
rnacentral:rRNA from 1 species